rfam:Macaca mulatta chromosome 7, whole genome shotgun sequence.
AAUGCUGUUUCAAGGUAGUACCAGUAUCUUGUGUUCAGUGGAACCAAGGUAAACACAAGAUACUGGUAUUACCUUGAGAUAGCAUU